rnacentral:rRNA from 1 species
AGAUCACGUACCUCGGGUUCGGGAGUAGCGGGGGGAAACCGCCGGUAAUACCGAAUAAUGUCUCCGGACCAAAAAUUUAUUGCCCUUGGAGCGGUCUGCGUCCUAUUAGUUUGUUGGUGGGGUAAAAGCCUACCAAGGCUAAGAUGGGUAGCGGGUGUGAGAGCAUGGCCCGUCUCACUGGGACUGAGACACUGCCCAGACGUCUACGGACGGCUGCAGUCGAGAAUCUUCCGCAAUGGACGAAAGUCUGACGGAGCGACGCCGCGUGCGGGAUGAAGGCCUUCGGGUUGUAAACCGCUGUCAGAGGGGAGCAAAUUUUGAGCGAUCCUCAGAGGAAGCACAGGCUAAGUUCGUG